GACGAACGCUGGCGGCGUGCCUAACACAUGCAAGUCAACUUGACUGAAGGAGCAAUCUGACAGUAGAGUGGCGCAAGGGUGCGUAACGCGUAAGUAACUUGCCCAAGGUAAGGAAUAACGUCGAGAAAUCGGCGCUAAUACCUCAUAAUGCAGCGGAUCCGCAUGGAUAUGUUGUUAAAGGUUUACCGCCUUGGGAUAGGCUUGCGUCUGAUUAGUUAGUUGGUGUGGUAACGGCACACCAAGGCUACGAUCAGUAACUGGUCUGAGAGGAUGAUCAGUCACACUGGAACUGAGACACGGUCCAGACUCCUACGGGAGGCAGCAGUGAGGAAUAUUGGGCAAUGCUCGAAAGAGUGACCCAGCAACGCCGCGUGGAGGAUGAAGGUAUUCUAUAUCGUAAACUCCUGUGAGAGCAGACGAAAGACAGAUUAUAAUCUGGAUGACUGUAUGCUCAGA
rnacentral:rRNA from 1 species